CGCUUAUUUCGCCCAGGCGGAGUUCGACCGCCGGUCGAAGUCAUGAUCGCCUUUACCGACGAUCAUCGUGGGGAGCAUGGGGUCGUGCCGAUCUGCAAGGUGUUGCCGAUUGCCCUG
rfam:Caenispirillum salinarum AK4 contig27, whole genome shotgun sequence.